UAGGGAAUCUUCCGCAAUGGACGAAAGUCUGACGGAGCGACGCCGCGUGAGCGAAGAAGGUCUUCGGAUCGUAAAGCUCUGUUGUUAGGGAAGAAGAAGUGCCGUUCGAACAGGGCGGCACGGUGACGGUACCUAACGAGAAAGCCCCGGCUAACUUACGUG
rnacentral:rRNA from 1 species